rnacentral:rRNA from 1 species
GAGGGAAACCGAGUCUUAACCGGGCGUUAAGUUGCAGGGUAUAGACCCGAAACCCGGUGAUCUAGCCAUGGGCAGGUUGAAGGUUGGGUAACACUAACUGGAGGACCGAACCGACUAAUGUUGAAAAAUUAGCGGAUGACCUGUGGCUGGGGGUGAAAGGCCAAUCAAACCGGGAGAUAGCUGGUUCUCCCCGAAAGCUAUUUAGGUAGCGCCUCGUGAACUCAUCUCCGGGGGUAGAGCACUGUUUCGGCUAGGGGGCCAUCCCGGCUUACCAACCCGAUGCAAACUGCGAAUACCGGAGAAUGUUAUCACGGGAGACACACGGCGGGUGCUAACGUCCGUCGUGAAGAGGGAAACAACCCAGACCGCCAGCUAAGGUCCCAAAGUCAUGGUUAAGUGGGAAACGAUGUGGGAAGGCCCAGACAGCCAGGAUGUUGGCUUAGAAGCAGCCAUCAUUUAAAGAAAGCGUAAUAGCUCACUGGUCGAGUCGGCCUGCGCGGAAGAUGUAACGGGGCUAAACCAUGCACCGAAGCUGCGGCAGCGAACGUAUCACUUAAAGCGAUUCAGCGGGUUACGAUUGACGGAGCGAAGCGACGUCAAAGCGUAUACAAAGUCGAGUCGGUUUAAGGAUACGUUCGUUGGGUAGGGGAGCGUUCUGUAAGCCUGCGAAGGUGGCCUGUGAGGGUUGCUGGAGGUAUCAGAAGUGCGAAUGCUGACAUAAGUAACGAUAAAGCGGGUGAAAAGCCCGCUCGCCGGAAGACCAAGGGUUCCUGUCCAACGUUAAUCGGGGCAGGGUGAGUCGACCCCUAAGGCGAGGCCGAAAGGCGUAGUCGAUGGGAAACGGGUUAAUAUUCCCGUACUUGGUGUUACUGCGAAGGGGGGACGGAGAAGGCUAUGUUGGCCGGGCGACGGUUGUCCCGGUUUAAGCGUGUAGGCUGGUUUUCCAGGCAAAUCCGGAAAAUCAAGGCUGAGGCGUGACGACGAGGCACUACGGUGCUGAAGCAACAAAUGCCCUGCUUCCAGGAAAAGCCUCUAAGCAUCAGGUAACAUCAAAUCGUACCCCAAACCGACACAGGUGGUCAGGUAGAGAAUACCAAGGCGCUUGAGAGAACUCGGGUGAAGGAACUAGGCAAAAUGGUGCCGUAACUUCGGGAGAAGGCACGCUGACACGUAGGUGAAGUGAUUUACUCAUGGAGCUGAAGUCAGUCGAAGAUACCAGCUGGCUGCAACUGUUUAUUAAAAACACAGCACUGUGCAAACACGAAAGUGGACGUAUACGGUGUGACGCCUGCCCGGUGCCGGAAGGUUAAUUGAUGGGGUCAGCGCAAGCGAAGCUCCUGAUCGAAGCCCCGGUAAACGGCGGCCGUAACUAUAACGGUCCUAAGGUAGCGAAAUUCCUUGUCGGGUAAGUUCCGACCUGCACGAAUGGCGUAAUGAUGGCCAGGCUGUCUCCACCCGAGACUCAGUGAAAUUGAACUCGCUGUGAAGAUGCAGUGUACCCGCGGCAAGACGGAAAGACCCCGUGAACCUUUACUAUAGCUUGACACUGAACAUUGAGCCUUGAUGUGUAGGAUAGGUGGGAGGCUUUGAAGUGUGG